rnacentral:rRNA from 1 species
UCAAUAAGCGAGGAAAAGAAACUAACAAGGAUUCCCUCAGUAACGGCGAGUGAAGCGGGAUCAGCUCAAAUUUAAAAUCUGGCUUCUUCGGAGCCCGAGUUGUAGUAUAAAGAAACGUUUUCCAUUGUCAACCAAGGCAAAAGUCCUCUGGAAAGGGGCAUCAUAGAGGGUGAGAAUCCCGUCUUUGGCUUUGAGUUUUUGAUAUGUUGUGAUACGUUCUCUAAGAGUCAGGUUGUUUGGGAAUGCAGCCUAAAAUGGGUGGUAAAUUUCAUCUAAAGCUAAAUAUUGGCGAGAGACCGAUAGCGAACAAGUACCGUGAGGGAAAGAUGAAAAGCACUUUGAAAAGAGAGUUAAACAGUACGUGAAAUUGUUGAAAGGGAAACGUUUGAAGCCAGUCAGCUUGUUUGUAAUCAGCCUAUUCUUUGGAGUGGGUGCACUUGCAAACUUUUGCAGGUCAACGUCAAUUUGAGGUGCUGGAAAAAGGCUUGAGGAAUGUGGCUACUCUCGGGUAGUGUUAUAGCUUCUUGCAAAAUACAGGGUCUUGGAUUGAGGUUCGCAGCCAAAAUGUGGGCUUUGGUAUUUCUUGUUCGAAUCGGUCGCUGGACAAUUUAUUGAUCAGUGAUUUGCCAAGGGCAACAACAUCAAUAGCUUCUAAUUGUGCUUAGGUCGUUGACUUAAUGGCUUUAAAUGACCCGUCUUGAAACACGGACCAAGGAGUCUAACAUAUAUGCGAGUGUUUGAGUGGCAAACUCACACGCGUAAUGAAAGUGAAUGUAGGUGCGAAGCCGUAAAAGGUGGCAGCAUCGGCCGACUCUAACGUUUUUAACCGCCGAGUUUGAGCUAAAGCAUAUCUGUUGGGACCCGAAA